ACUCAAAGGAAUAGACGGGGGCCCGCACAAGCGGUGGAGCAUGUGGUUUAAUUCGAAGCAACGCGAAGAACCUUACCAAGAAUUGACAUCUACCCUUAACCUAUGGAAACAUAGGAAGCUUCGGCGGGGUAAGACAGGUGGUGCAUGGUUGUCGUCAGCUCGUGUCGUGAGAUGUUGGGUUAAGUCCCGCAACGAGCGCAACCCUUGCCUUUAGUAGCCAGCACGUUAAGGUGGGCACACUAGAGGGACUGCCGUUGAUAAAACGGAGGAAGGUGGGGACGACGUCAAAUCAUCAUGCCCCUUAUGACUUGGGCAACACACGUGCUACAAUGGGUUUUACAAAGUGAAGCGAGACGGCGACGUUAAGCAAACCACAAAAAGAAACCCUCAGUUCGGAUUGUAGUCUGCAACUCGACUACAUGAAGCUGGAAUCGCUAGUAAUCGCGAAUCAGCAUGUCGCGGUGAAUACGUUCUCGGGCCUUGCACACACCGCCCGU
rnacentral:rRNA from 1 species